rnacentral:rRNA from 1 species
UACGUAGGGGGCAAGCGUUGUCCGGAAUCAUUGGGCGUAAAGAGCGUGUAGGCGGCCUGAUAAGUCGGCUGUGAAAGUCAAGGGCUCAGCCCUUGAAUGCCGGCCGAUACUGUCAGGCUAGAGUCCGGAAGAGGCGAGUGGAAUUCCUGGUGUAGCGGUGAAAUGCGCAGAUAUCAGGAGGAACACCUAUGGCGAAGGCAGCUCGCUGGGACGGUACUGACGCUGAGGAGCGAAAGCGUGGGGAGCGAACAGG